GCAGCCCUGAGAGGUGGAGCAGAGAAGGAGGGCUGUCCUCAAACCAGGACAACAGCUGGACUCUGCCAAGGGGGAAACGGGCCCCUGACGUCCAGGACACAGUCCCAGACACAAACUCCGGUACUCACGGGCCAGAUGAGCCAGGAAGGCCUUGCGGACAUGAAGUGACCAGGGCCAGAGUGCAGACACAGGGGUGGAGAUUCUGCGUGGCUCUGCAGUGCCCAGAGACCCCCGAGAAGAGUCCUCCCGGGUAGUUCAGAUGAGGUCAGACCUCAGGCCGCUCUGCUCAGACAGGGAGGGAGGGCAGCCCCACUGACUCCCUUUGGUCAGAGCGAAGGACUGAGAAGUCAAGGGCCAAAGGUCACCGUGACCCACUGUGACCCCACAGCUGUUCUCCUGAGGAUGGAGCUGACUUCUCGUUCACUCAAGGGAGAACCAAACCUCCUUGAGCCUGUCGUCAGCCCAGGAAACCCCCUCCUGCGUGCGGGCAUCAAGACCAGCUGUGGGUGCAGCCGGUCCUCCCUGACCCACUCCAGAUCGUCACAUCCCCGCGCGGCCCAACCAGCUCCCGCGGGGUCUCACAUCACCGGUGCACGGAGGCCGGCCACCCCACACCUCCCCAGAGCCAGCCUCAGCCCCACUCCUCCUGCUCGCCGCUCCCCACAACUGAGCCGCCAGGCCCCCGCCGCCGCCCACGCAGCAGACCCGAGGGGACGCCCUGUCCCGGGACCACUUCUGUCUCCCGAAACGAACCUUGUAAACUCAAAUUUUAAGUUUUAGAAAACUGCCAGUGCCCUCUAAACUCUCGUCAACAGAGCCAGGCAGAUGCAGGGACCAGGAAUAAAGAAGGGCCUGGAGGAUGGCGGGAGGUCCGAGGUGCUUCCCCAGACCAACAAGGGACGGGGGCCCCACAGGCGCGGGGAGGAGCAGGCGACCCCAACCUUGCCCACUCCAGAGUCACGUAACUCAUCGCGUGAUGCCACUGCGCGGUGACUGCUCUCAUCACCUCACCGCAGCCAGCGGCCCUGGUGCUGCUUCGUCCUCGCGCAUCACUAAUAUGACACCCAACGGCUCUCUCUGCAGUGUCUUCGCCAGGACGGCGUGUGUGAGCAUCCAAGCUCCCCCAUGAGCUCAGGGCCACGCUGGGAGGGGCCCGGCCCAGCACCGGCCCUACAGAGGAGCUCACACUGGCACCUCUCAGGCUCAGACAGAGUCCACGUGCCCCAAGUAACCACAGCAGCAACAGAAGGUAGACCUCGGGAGUCACCUGUGCUCAUCUGGGGAACCUGCCACGUUCUCUCUGAGGCCCCCCUCCCUGGGCCCUACGGUCACUCCCCCUAAGCUAGCUUAAGUGGGAAGGGCCCACACAGAAACACGGGGAGAGCAGGGAGAGUCCACAAACAUGGCAACAGACAGGCGACCGUGACGCCACUGAGACCCUCCGCUGCCUUCCUGACUAGACUCCUGGACCCCGUUCCUCCCAACAGGAGAUGCCGCCGCCCACCCCCAGGACAGACCCUGAGGUGGUCAACAUUUAAGCAGCCAUCACGCCCCAGUCCCUUAGCGAGUCCCGCCCUGCCCCCAGGCAGCGUCGUAAACGGCUCGUGUCAGCAUCCUCCAGGGCUGUCCAGCAGGCCUUCCGGCGGUGUGCACAUCACCGGAUUCCAAACAUGCAAGAUAUUUGAGACUUUAAAUCUAAGAAGUGCCUCCCCCACCAGUAACCCUACCCCUCCCUCAGCACCUCCAGAGCCGAUAAAAGGAGGAGACGCUGCAGAUGAAAGUGUGCCCUCGGCAGCCCGCCCAGGACAGGGAGAACAGCCGCCCGAGACCUAGGACGUCGGCAGGGGACCGGGGGCAAAAACCGCCUGCAAACUGGUUUCAAAUUCCAACCGCACAGAGCUUGUCAGACUGCAGGACGUGGACAGGGUGCAGGUGCGGCUUGCUGGCGGCUUCUUCAGGUGACCAGGCUGAGACCCUGUCUCCUUGGGCCCUACUGCCCUAGGGACAGGCCUGGUCCCAGUUCUGUAACUCCCCCAUCAGAGAGGACAUCUACAGAGUCCCAAACUCAGGCAAGCAGACCAAAUUCCCACAAAGUCCACUGAGAUUGCAGCUUAGAGGCAGUAAUGCCAGAAGAAUGCAGAGACACCUCCGCCGUGGGCCAUCCCGGUGGAACGAGGGGCCAGGAGUGCCCGGAGGGAGCCUGGGAAGAGGCCCGGCCUGUCAGCCCCACCCCUGCCCCAGUGCCCGGAGCCGGCUUGGGGGUUUGGGGGGCUGUCUGAAUAGUAGAGACACCUACGCCUCUGAAAUUUGGAAGCCCCAAUGUCUUUGACAAAAACUGGUCACUGCUUCAUGGCCUGGCCUUAUGCACGAGUUUCCCGAGUGAUGGCAGAGUUAGAGGGCCGGUCCCCAUGGUGCUGCUGGCUGGGCUCUGGGUCUGGGUCUCCGUCCUGCCUGCUGGGCAUCCGCAGAGAGACGCUAGUUAAAACACCUGAGUCUGCAGAAACUACCCAGAAAGCCAGUGUGGCUGGAGACGGGCGGCCAUGACGGGAGGAGGUGAGAGCCAAACGCACAUCUUUGCAGAAAGACAGAGAAGACUGAGCAUGGGAGGAUGUGGAGAAAUCAGUCCUCCCGCCCUGCUGGUGGAAACGCAGAAUGGGGAAGCGGCUGGCAGUUCCUCAAAAGGUUAAACGCGAGUCACCAAAACCCAGAAGUCUUCACCCCGGGAACGUGCCCAGGAGGAGUGAAGACAUCCACACACAAACUCAGGAGUGAGUAUCCACUACAGCCCAAAGGUGCAGACUGCCAAGCGGCCGCCAGCUGGUGAGGGGGGAGCAAGGCACAGCCCAGCCGCACAGCGGGACCCGCGCCAUGCCGACCGGAGUCGGGCGCUGACACACGCUGGGCUCUGAACGCACGAUGCACAAGGCCACGUGCAUGACUCCAUUCAUGUGAAACAUCCAGAAAAGGUACAAAAAAAAGUGCUAAAACUGACCGUGGAGAUAGCUGAACAGCUCUGUGAACACACUAAAGGCCAGCAGAUCGUACACUUCACGUGACGCCAUCAUCAAACAACAUUCCUGGAAGAAGCAGAGGAAUCCAUGCUGUCAGAGCAAGUGAACAGGACCGGGAUGGAUGGACGGCCCCGCACAAGGUCCCAGCAGACCUCACCUCGCCCUGAGCUGGAGUGGGUGGGGGUGGGGAGGAGAGGCAGGGACGGCCCCACACGCAGCUCUGAGGUGGAGGAGACAGAGGACACCCUGUGGUAGCUGGAGGGGACACGGGGUCAGGGAGCUUCCCAGGUGGGAUGGGAACCAGGCCACCAGGGCACAACUGAGGGCGCCGAGGCCCCGGCCACCCCGCCCAGCCCAGGGGAGGGGCUUGGGGGCCACCGCACAGCGCUCUGCAAUCUGCACAGCGCUCUGCAAUCCCCAGGUGGGGUGGAGAAAAAGGCAAACCAGCUCAAAAUUGACAUGCAGCUCCGAAUAAGCAACAGGACAGGGCCCUCCAGGCAGACACCCAAGAGCGAGCUGUGCUCUCAGAAUCCUACCGCUUGGCUAAGUCUCCUUCCCAAGAAACAGCCUUACCAUGUAAGGGUGGGACCGAGUUUUGAAACCACAGCCUGCAAGAAUUCACCUUCUCAGUUCACUUCUAGCAAAAAAGAAAAGAAAAGAAAAGAAAAAAACACAUAAAGAACCAAAAGCUAGAAACCUCACUUAUGGAAAAUCCAGCCGUCUCAAGCAAAACAGUGAGCUGUGCCGCCCAGCCACUCCUUGUGGGCAAAUGGGUGGCAACAGCUGGGCCCCGCGUGGGCACCACGGAACAGCCUGGGGCCCUCCGAGGCCAAUCUGGAGACAGCACAGGCAGCCCCAGCCACACCUAGGCCCCACCAGGGAGACGCUCUUCCCCGCAGGUUCAGGAGGGCCCCCAGCUAGGACAGGGGUCCUGCGGGUGAGGGUCCAGAGCCCUGGUCAGGGUUGGACAGGCCACACAGCUACGCCCUUAACAGUGUACACAGUGGGUCACCUUCCACCCUCUCCGUCCGGGCGGGAGCGCUGUGUGACGUGUGAUGACGUCAUCCUCUAACAGCUGCUGCCACUUUCUCAGCCCCUGCCCCUGACACGGUAAAUACUGGUGUCACGAGCUACACGGCCGAGAACUCUUCGGGGUCCUCCGUGACUCCUAAGAACGCAAGGGUAGAAGUUUGAGGACCAAUGUAAACAUGUCUUCUUCACCUUUGUGUAUGACAUCACAGGGGGAGGAGCACCUGAUGGGCCUCUGUGGGGACUAGAGCAGCCACGCCACCCUGGGACCCGACAGAGCCAGGUGUGCUGACAAGAACACAGCAGCCUGCCAGAUAAGACGCCCUCUGGGUCGCAGGAUGUUAGGGCCAAACCGUGGUCACAGUUCACAUCCAGAGCUUCAGGGAGUCGUGCUGGACGGGGAGGAAGUGACAAGGGAUGACCACGAAACUGCAAAAGCAAACACGCAUCACCUGUCCCAUGUGCACGAGAGGGAACCGUGUCCUUCCCAGCAGGGCCCGUCCGCUUCCAAGUCAGAGCCCUCCUCCUCGGCCCACGCCCUCCAAGGAGAGGCCACCGGUGCCCACUGUGAGUCCUGGUCGCACAGCAGAGCUUGGCUUCCAGAUGGAGAAGCCUGGCAAGAACGAGUCCCUCCCCAGGCCUGGCCACCAUCUGAAGACAGUGUCUGUCAGCAUGGGCACACGUCACACAGAGAGAGUCACUGAGCAGAUCUUCCGAAACCUACAGUAAACCGAGGAGUUAAAAUUUCCUUCACUCAAGAAUUUGCUGUUUCCACCCACCAGGCUUCCAAGGGGACUGGUUAACGCCCACCCCUGCCUUUCCACACCACUGAGGAAGGACGGCUCCCGCCCUCUGGACCCAGCUGCACACAGUCAGAAACCCACGGGUUAGGACAGAUACAGCAAAGACAUCUUGCAGAAUUAACCUGUGCACUGUUCAUCAAAAUAAAUGUUCCUUCCCGAUAUAAACAUGAUGCAAAACCCCACACAGACUUUGAGAAAAAUGAACAUUCAGAGAGACCACGUUGCUAAACAAGAAUGAAUGAAGUUACCCAUUUUCACAUCAACAAGAAGUGUGCGUAUACAGUCAAAACACAACAAAAAUGCUAGAACUAGGAAUCAAAGAUUACUGGAAAGAAUGUUUGCACAGCAAAAUUCUUUUCCCUUUGAGACUACAGUGCCCCACCAUGCUUCAUUCUCCUGACAUUUCUGAGGCUUUAAAGCCACAACUAACGGAUCUGAAUCAUCUGAGUGAAACCAUGUUCUAGUGGAUGUUACUGGAAAGCCGAGAAUAGAACGCUAAAUAUAUAGACACACACCCAUAGCGAGCACUUUUGUAGAAAAGGAUCAAACACGAAACUAGAUAGAGUUGUCCUGUCCGUGACAGUCAGAGGGCAAGCAGCUCAUGUCCAGCAGGGAAGUGUAAUACAUGGCGCCCGGAAGUCAAAAUAAGAAAAACGCCAAAACAGCGCCUACCUUUCAUUAAUAAAAUCACACCUUGCCUGUCCAUGAA